rnacentral:rRNA from 1 species
UACAGAGGUCUCAAGCGUUGUUCGGAUUCAUUGGGCGUAAAGGGUGCGUAGGCGGCGCGGUAAGUCGGGUGUGAAAAUCUCGGAGCUUAACUCCGAAACUGCAUUCGAUACUGCCGUGCUUGAGGACUGGAGAGGAGACUGGAAUUUACGGUGUAGCGGUGAAAUGCGUAGAUAUCGUAAGGAAGACCAGUGGCGAAGGCGGGUCUCGUGGACAGUUCCAUGACGCUGAGGCACGAAGGUCCAGGGGAGCAAACGGG